AAGAAUAAAUAAUCUAAAGUUAGGAAAUUUAUAAAUUAUAUUAUAAGUUUAAAUACGAAUCUAACUAACAGUGUCGUCCAAAUGCUGUCAGUUGUAGUGGGAUUACAACAUAUAUGGCUAAUAAAUUACCAAAUUCCGGGGAACCCCUAAAGAUUAAAGUACCAAGCCACAUUUGAAAGAAUGUGAGUGGCUGAAGUAAUUACUCAGGUAUGGUAACAAGCUUUAAGAUGAACGAAAGUGAAAUGGGAUAUCGCGGAUCUAAAUCAUCGGUAUCUAAUUUAAAUAAUAAAUUAAUAGUUACAGGUGUAAAAGAGCAACGAGUAGACGGUAAUUGGUGUUUUCUAAAAUCAAGAAAAUGUUUAAGGUAUACUCUAACGGGUCUCGAAAGAGACUAUCUAGUCGGAAUCCCUUCUAAUCAAAAAGCUAAAAGAUUUUUUUCUACUAGUGAUAAUAUAACAUUAACAUUAAAUCCUUAUUUUGUUACAGGUUUUACUGAUGCAGCCCCUAAAGGAGGAAGUUUUACUGUCUCUAUUUAUCCAGAUAGUUCUAUGAAAACUGGUAUUAGAGUAACUGCUGAAUUUAAAAUAGGCUUGAAUGAACGAGAUAGUGAUCUUUUAUUUAAAAUUCAACAAUUUUUUGGAGGAAUAGGUAAAAUAAAUUAUAAUCAUUCUUAUAAUGCAUCAAUAUAUAGAGUAUAUAAAAAAGAUGAUUUGUUAAAUGUUAUUAUUCCACACUUUAUUAAUUAUCCACUAUUGAGUAAAAAAUCAAUUGAUUUUUAUUUAUUUGUUAGAAUACUUCACUUAAUUAAUGAAAAUGCUCAUUUAAAUGAAAACGGUUUACGAGAGAUAGUUAAUAUUUAUGCUUCUUUAAAUAGAGGUAUUUCUAAUUUUGGUUAAAUCUAAAUUUUUUCACAUUCAACCAGUAUUAAGAGAAAAUGUAAAAAUUACAAAUAUCGUUGAUCCUAACUGAAUCGCAGGAUUUGUUAGUGGUGAAGGUAAUUUUGAUGCUGGGAUUCGAAAAGCAACAGAUACUAGAAAAGAAAGAGUAUAUUUAAGAUUUAGAGUUACUCAACACAGUAGAGAUAUUGAUUUAAUGGAAAUACUUAUAAAGUAUUUAGAAGCAGGGAGAAUUGAAUGAGAUAAGAGAAUUGAAAGUUCUGCGGUAAGUAUUGUAGUAGGUAACUUUUUAGAUAUAACAAAUAAGAUAAUUCCUUUCUUUAAUAAUUAUAUCAUAUAUGGUAUCAAAUAUUAUGAUUAUUUAGAUUGAGUAAAAAUUGCCGAAUUAAUAAAAUUAGGCAAAAAUAAAACUCCUGAAGGUAUGGAAGAAAUAAAACUAAUAGAAAUUAGAAUGAAUAAAGGUAGAAAAUAAGAAAAAUUUUAGCAAUUGUACGAUAAAUCCGAUAACCGUGGGUGCCAGAAGACUCGGUAAUACCAGAGACGCGAACGUUAAUCAUCUUGAAUGGGCAUAAAGGGUUUGUAGGCGGCUUAUUUAUUAAUAGGCUAGAAUCUUAGAGAGGUUAAUAAAAUACUUAGAGGAGGGCUGAUAUCCUUAGAUCCUAAGUGGAAUCCUAAUUGCGAAGGCCAUUAACCACUACAGAUUGACGCUGAGAAACGAAGGUUAGGAUAGGAACUAGGAUUAGAGACCCUAUUACCCCUAACUGUAAACGAUGAAUGGAAGAUAUUUACAACUGUAAGUGUCGAAGUGAAUACGAUAACCAUUCCGCCUUGCUAGUAUACUUGCAAAAGUGAAAACAAAAAAAUUAGUCGGU
rnacentral:rRNA from 1 species